rnacentral:rRNA from 1 species
CCUACGGGUGGCAGCAGUGAGGAAUAUUGGUCAAUGGGGGGAACCCUGAUGCAGUGACGCCGCGUGGGUGAAGGAGCGUUUCGGCGCGUAAAGCCCUAUCGGCAGGGAAGAAGGAGGACGGUACCUGACUAAGAAGCCCCGGCUAACUACGUGCCAGCAGCCGCGGUAAUACGUAGGGGGCAAGCGUUAUCCGGAUUUAAUGGGUGUAAAGGGGGCGCAGACGGGACCGCAAGCUAGGUGUGAAAGCCCGCGGCCCAACCGCGGGACUGCUCUUGGAACUGCGCGGCUUGAGUGCAGGAGGGGCAGGCGGAAUUCCUGGUGUAGCGGUGAAAUGCGUAGAUAUCAGGAGGAACACCGGUGGCGAAGGCGGCCUGCUGGACUGCAACUGACGUUGAGGCACGAAAGCGUGGGGAGCAAACAGGAUUAGAUACCCCUGUAGUC